AACGAACGCUGGCGGCAGGCCUAACACAUGCAAGUCGAGCGAGGACUUCGGUCCUAGCGGCGGACGGGUGAGUAACGCGUGGGAACGUGCCCUUUGCUACGGAAUAGCCCCGGGAAACUGGGAGUAAUACCGUAUGUGCCCUUAGGGGGAAAGAUUUAUCGGCAAAGGAUCGGCCCGCGUUGGAUUAGGUAGUUGGUGAGGUAAUGGCCUACCAAGCCGACGAUCCAUAGCUGGUUUGAGAGGAUGAUCAGCCACACUGGGACUGAGACACGGCCCAGACUCCUACGGGAGGCAGCAGUGGGGAAUCUUAGACAAUGGGCGCAAGCCUGAUCUAGCCAUGCCGCGUGAGCGAUGAAGGCCUUAGGGUUGUAAAGCUCUUUCAGGGGGGAAGAUAAUGACUGUACCCCCAGAAGAAGCCCCGGCUAACUCCGUGCCAGCCGCCGCCGUAA
rnacentral:rRNA from 1 species